AGCGAACGCUGGCGGCAGGCCUAACACAUGCAAGUCGAACGAAGUCUUCGGACUUAGUGGCGGACGGGUGAGUAACACGUGGGAACGUGCCUUUAGGUUCGGAAUAACUCAGGGAAACUUGUGCUAAUACCGAAUGUGCCCUUCGGGGGAAAGACUUAUCGCCUUUAGAGCGGCCCGCGUCUGAUUAGCUAGUUGGUGAGGUGAAGGCUCACCAAGGCGCCGAUCAAUAGCUGGUCUGAGAGGAGGAUCAGCCACAUUGGGACUGAGACACGGCCCAAACUCGUACGGGAGGCAGCAGUGGGGAAUCUUGCGCAAUGGGCGAAAGCCUGACGCAGCCAUGCCGCGUGAAUGAUGAAGGUCUUAGGAUUGUAAAAUUCUUUCACCGGGGGCGAUAAUGACGGUACCCGGAGAAGAAGCCCCGGCUAACUUCGUGCCAGCCGCCGCGGUAACAC
rnacentral:rRNA from 1 species